rnacentral:lncRNA from 1 species
GAUUGUGAACGUGAAAUAUUACAAAUCCCAAAAGAACAUCUGUAGGGUAGUUCAUCAAACCCUGCUCAGGUUUAUUUCCGGGUUUAACCUGGGAGUUUGGCUCAGUUAAACUGGGAUUUAACUGGAACAGCCGUUUCAUCAAAGAGAAAACACCUUAGUUGCCAUGGAAACACCGUCUGGUGCAAACCUGCUCCCGACCAAGUUUAAGCAGCAGGCUUGGUUCACCUGAUGUCAUGUCAUGGUGCUUUACAACACACAAAGAUCUACGAAUGGAAAAACAAAAACAGAUGAUGUCACAUCCUGUUGGUCUCAGCAUUGGUUUCUAUUGGCUGUUUAUUCCAUAGACAGUAUUAAAAUGUCUAUGGUUUAUUCAGAGUAAAAGCUGCAGCGUAUGCGUCCUCGUGUCUCUGUUCAUGAACUAAGAUCAUCUACCUCACGGUCACUUCAGUUUAACAGUGUCAGCUGUUUUUGCUGAGCCCAUGAGUUUCAAGCUGAGAAGAGUUUGAUGAAAUGGGAAAAGCCAGCGUCGUCACCCCGUAGGCCUGGUUCUUAUAAGCAUACACUGAAGAAAUAUCCCCCUGGACACACCAUUUAGUAAACAAUGGGGAAAUCUGUCUUAAAUGAUCAGUGAUAUCUGUGCAUUUAUACACAAGCCACUUGUAUCCACCUUAUGGAAAAGGCCUAAACAGAGCCCAACUUUAUUGCUCUAGAAAGAUCCAGAUGUAUAUUUUAACCUGUUUUAAAGUUUUUCUCCUAACCUCGUGGUUGCAGUGGAUGGGUGUGUAUACUACGCUGUCUUCAUGUUUAUCUAAAUGUAAGAUUAGGUCCUGCCUUCUGCAUUCCAACUCUUACACUUAACAUGUCAGCUGUCUGUGAAAAUGUCUCUCUGUAAUCAGUUCCUGCUUUCUUUUUUUCAUAUAUUUUAGCAACAAACCUUGCCUUUAGAUCCAGCUGUGUCUGUUUUUAGUUGAAAAGGCCAUUUAGCUUUUAAAGCGUGUUUACCAGUCACCUGGAACGUGUCAUUUUCCUCUAGUGAGCUAAUCUCCUCGUCCAUGGCCUUUUUUCUGUGCAUUGAUUUGGAUGAUAACACUGCUUACUGAUACGUUUCUGGAAUGUCCCAAACUGCUCGAUAACAGAAAUCAACACGUUUGUAACCUGUCAGUCUGAAAAUCAUGGAGAUAUGCUGGCUUUUGCUUUAUUCU